rnacentral:lncRNA from 1 species
GAAUCCAACAGUUUUAGUGAGGAAAAUAGAUGUUUAUAAAAAUCCAUUUGGGUGCUGCUGUUGUAGGAGAGAUCGGCUGUCUGAUGAUUAACAAAUUUAACAAUAUGGAUUGCAUGGGAAGGCAAACUGUUAACUUCUCAGCUGUCAGAAUCUGGGUGGAGGGCAAGAAUGGAAGGCUCUUAUGUAAUCUGCCUGACCUGCCUGGUUCUGGGGCUGCUGCAUCUCCGACUGCAUCCACAGGGCUGAAGGAUUCUAGCGCUGCUCUGCCACCUUGCCAGAAGUUGGUGUCCUGCUUUUUUACGUGUUUCCAGCGUUUCUUUGCUAAAACUGAAUGUGUUUUUAAACUAACCUGUUUUUACCUUAACAGAUGUUGGCCAGUUAAUUACUAAAUGAUUUUUUUUUCUUUAAUUUCUGUUUUGCUGAGGCCUUUCUCGAUUUCAGGGCCCGAGAGAAAACAGUGGAAGAAAGGAUUCAGAAUUUUGGUAGGGGUGAAAUAACUUUUUAAACGGUUAAAAGAUACCUAAGUAAUCUUUUUAAAGAGAAAAAUAUGUAGUUUCAGGAUAAUGCUUAUAUUAUUGAGAACACCUUAUGUGUAAUCAGGUGUACUUGAUGUUGCAUAGAAAUUAACAGUAAUUCAUCAGUGUCUUGCAUUUCAGUCAGAGCAUUAACUUCCUGUUGAUGAAACAAAGUGCUCAAGGUCUAUCAGAAUGGACAGUGAACUUGCAUCCUGUGACACACAGGGGCACUUGAUGCUCAAAUGAAGAUGGAAAGGUUAGCAAUAACUGGGUAUCAAUUAGAAUUUGAGAAUUCUAUAUGUUUACAUUUUUUAAUGUGCAUCUUUAUCUGGUGGGCUUCCUAUGUGGAAACUUGCACUAUAAUGAACUAAGAAGAAUAUUGCCUUGUUAUAUCUCAGUCCAAGUGCUUGUACUGCGAUGGCAAUGGCCUCUUCUUGCAAAAUACUAAUUUGUGUGCCAAUUUGUUUGAAAUUAUUUGAAGGCAGUUCAGCUUAAUCUCAGAAUCCUCUUUCUGGGUAUUUGAGAUGGAUUCUUAACAUUUGGGGGAGUACCUUUCAAUGAGAGAAUUGUCAAAAUUCAGGAAAGAUUUAUUGGCUGGCCCUUAGGUUACAUGGACAGUUAAGCUCAAAAGUAGACUAUCUUGUUUAUUAAACACAAGAUCUUUAAUUGGAAAAAAAAAAAGAGGAUAAAAAAUUAACACGAGAUCACAAAUCAGGGGAAAAAAGGGAAAACGUUUUGAAUUUGGAGUAUUGCUAGACUCAUUAUUCAUGGCAAGGGGCGGUGAAUAAAAUGUCAUUAUAUUUCUUAAAUAUAAAAGUA